rnacentral:rRNA from 1 species
UACCAGCACCCCGAGUGGUCGGGACGAUUAUUGGGCCUAAAGCAUCCGUAGCCGGUCCUACAAGUCUUCCGUUAAAUCCACCUGCUUAACAGAUGGGCUGCGGAAGAUACUAUAGGGCUAGGAGGCGGGAGAGGCAAGCGGUACUCAGUGGGUAGGGGUAAAAUCCGUUGAUCCAUAGAAGACCACCAGUGGCGAAGGCGGCUUGCCAGAACGCGCUCGACGGUGAGGGAUGAAAGCUGGGGGAGCAAACCGG